AUGACUUUGCUCCAAAUUCAAACCCAAUGGUAAUUGCAUUCCUCCACUUCUCAAAUUUGUUGUGGACCCCAAUUGUAACACAUGAUCAUCUACUACUAUACCUCUAUUACUACUAUUAUUGUUAUUCCUCCCAUAUCCGCUCUCAGGUACUGCUAAGAUCUGCUCGAAGAAAUCGUCACCUAAUCCCUCCGAACUACAAUUACCUGCCAUAACACCUAAUUUUAUCGAUUCUAAUGCUUUAAUAUUCACACAUUUCUUCUCUUCUGUUUCUAUCGGUUACAAAUUCAACCACCAAAAGCGGAAAACAAGGAAACACGGUUGGAAUUUGGGGGCUUCGCUUCCCGAUAAUGUUUUUGAUUUGUAACGGAGUGAGAAUGAAGAACAGAAUUUGGGACUUUGUUGUUAAUGUUUUUCACUACACAUAUAGAUAGAGAGGAGAAAAGAAUGGUGAGUGCGCUACGGGUUUUAAAAAGACUAAAAACGACGUGAGGGAGUAUUGAUGUCAUGGAGACGGAGGUGUCGGUGAUGGUUGUUGUUAUUGGUAAUGUUGCCCUCAACAUCAACAACGUUUUCAACAAAGCGUGUUGUGUCUUGGUGCCUUAGAAAACCAUGAUGACUUUGCUCCAAAUUCAAACCCAAUGGUAAUUGCAUUCCUCCACUUCUCAAAUUUGUUGUGGACCCCAAUUGUAACACAUGAUCAUCUACUACUAUACCUCUAUUACUACUAUUAUUGUUAUUCCUCCCAUAUCCGCUCUCAGGUACUGCUAAGAUCUGCUCGAAGAAAUCGUCACCUAAUCCCUCCGAACUACAAUUACCUGCCAUAACACCUAAUUUUAUCGAUUCUAAUGCUUUAAUAUUCACACAUUUCUUCUCUUCUGUUUCUAUCGGUUACAAAUUCAACC
rnacentral:lncRNA from 1 species